rnacentral:rRNA from 1 species
GACGGAGGAGGCAAGCGUUAUCCGGAAUGAUUGGGCGUAAAGAGUCCGUAGGUGGAACUUCAAGUCUAUUGUUAAAGAGCAAAGCUUAACUUUGUAAAGGCAGUGGAAACUGAAGAACUAGAGAGGGGCAGGGGCAAAGGGAAUUCCUGGUGUAGCGGUGAAAUGCGUAGAGAUCAGGAAGAACACCGGUGGCGAAAGCGCUUUGCUGGGCCCAUUCUGACACUGAGGGACGAAAGCUAGGGGAGCGAAU